rnacentral:rRNA from 1 species
AUUGAACGCUGGCGGCAUGCUUUACACAUGCAAGUCGAACGGCAGCGCGGGCUUCGGCCUGGCGGCGAGUGGCGAACGGGUGAGUAAUACAUCGGAACGUGCCCAGUAGUGGGGGAUAGCUCGGCGAAAGCCGGAUUAAUACCGCAUACGACCUGAGGGCGAAAGCGGGGGAUCUUCGGACCUCGCGCUAUUGGAGCGGCCGAUGGCAGAUUAGCUAGUUGGUGGGGUAAAGGCCUACCAAGGCGACGAUCUGUAGCUGGUCUGAGAGGACGACCAGCCACACUGGGACUGAGACACGGCCCAUACUCCUACGGGAGGCAGCAGUGGGGAAUUUUGGACAAUGGGCGAAAGCCUGAUCCAGCAAUGCCGCGUGUGUGAUGAAGGCCUUCGGGUUGUAAAGCACUUUUGGCGGGAACGAAAAGGACUGUGCCAAUACCACGGUUCGAUGACGGUACCCGCAGAAUAAGCACCGGCUAACUACGUG